rnacentral:rRNA from 1 species
UACGUAGGGGGCAAGCGUUGUCCGGAAUCAUUGGGCGUAAAGCGCGUGUAGGCGGCCCGAUAAGUCCGCUGUGAAAGUCCAGGGCUCAACCCUGGGAUGCCGGUGGAUACUGUCGGGCUCGAGUCCGGAAGAGGCGAGUGGAAUUCCCAGUGUAGAGGUGAAAUUCGUAGAUAUUGGGAAGAACACCGGUGGCGAAGGCGGCUCUCUGGACCGAGACUGACGCUGAGGCGCGAAAGCGUGGGGAGCAAACAGG